AUCUAGCUGACGGGUCUCAAAUAGGACGAAAUGCGAGUCUGUGAU
rnacentral:hammerhead_ribozyme from 1 species